GGAGAGAUGGCCGAGUGGUUGAAGGCGCACGCCUGGAAAGCGUGUAUAGGCAUCCCCUAUCCAGGGUUCGAAUCCCUGUCUCUCCG
rnacentral:tRNA from 1 species